CCUACGGGAGGCAGCAGUGGGGAAUUUUGGACAAUGGGCGCAAGCCUGAUCCAGCAAUGCCGCGUGCAGGAUGAAGGCCUUCGGGUUGUAAACUGCUUUUGUACGGAACGAAACGGCUCUUUCUAAUAAAGAGAGCUAAUGACGGUACCGUAAGAAUAAGCACCGGCUAACUACGUGCCAGCAGCCGCGGUAAUACGUAGGGUGCGAGCGUUAAUCGGAAUUACUGGGCGUAAAGCGUGCGCAGGCGGUUAUAUAAGACAGAUGUGAAAUCCCCGGGCUCAACCUGGGACCUGCAUUUGUGACUGUAUAGCUAGAGUACGGUAGAGGGGGAUGGAAUUCCGCGUGUAGCAGUGAAAUGCGUAGAUAUGCGGAGGAACACCGAUGGCGAAGGCAAUCCCCUGGACCUGUACUGACGCUCAUGCACGAAAGCGUGGGGAGCAAACAGGAUUAGAUACCCUGGUAGUCCACGCCCUAAACGAUGUCAACUGGUUGUUGGGUCUUCACUGACUCAGUAACGAAGCUAACGCGUGAAGUUGACCGCCUGGGGAGUACGGCCGCAAGGUUGAAACGUCAAAUGAAUUGACGGCUGGAGAGNGCGAGGCGACGACGAGGGAGGAGG
rnacentral:rRNA from 1 species